rnacentral:tRNA from 1 species
GGGCCGGACUACACGAGCCGUGGACUCAUAAUCCAUUGGUCGCGGGUUCGAGCCCCGCCCGCCCCACAA